rnacentral:rRNA from 1 species
GUCUACGGCCAUGCCAUGAACGUGCCCAGUCUUGUCUGAUCUCAGAAGCUAAGUAGGGUCGGGCUUGGUUAGUACUUGGAUGGGAGACCACCUAGGAAUACCAAGUGCUGUAGGAG